rnacentral:rRNA from 1 species
GACGAACGCUGGCGGCGUGCCUAAUACAUGCAAGUAGAACGCUGAAGGAGGAGCUUGCUUCUCCGGAUGAGUUGCGAACGGGUGAGUAACGCGUAGGUAACCUGCCUGGUAGCGGGGGAUAACUAUUGGAAACGAUAGCUAAUACCGCAUAACAGUAGAUGUUGCAUGACAUUUGCUUAAAAGGUGCAAUUGCAUCACUACCAGAUGGACCUGCGUUGUAUUAGCUAGUUGGUGAGGUAACGGCUCACCAAGGCGACGAUACAUAGCCGACCUGAGAGGGUGAUCGGCCACACUGGGACUGAGACACGGCCCAGACUCCUACGGGAGGCAGCAGUAGGGAAUCUUCGGCAAUGGACGGAAGUCUGACCGAGCAACGCCGCGUGAGUGAAGAAGGUUUUCGGAUCGUAAAGCUCUGUUGUAAGAGAAGGACGAGUGUGAGAGUGGAAAGUUCACACUGUGACGGUAUCUUACCAGAAAGGGACGGCUAACUACGUG